UACGUAGGUGGCAAGCGUUACUCGGAAUCACUAGGCGUAAAGCGCAGGUAGGAGGUUCGAUAAGUCUGUUGUGAAAGCUCCCGGCUUAACUGGGAGAGGUCAACGGAAACUGUCGAGCUAGAGUGCGGUAGAGGUAGCUGGAAUUCCCGGUGUAGCGGUGAAAUGCGUAGAUAUCGGGAGGAAUACCUAUGGCGAAAGCAGGCUACUGGACCGGCAUUGACGCUGAGGCGCGAAAGCCAGGGGAGCAAACAGG
rnacentral:rRNA from 1 species